rnacentral:tRNA from 1 species
AGCCGAAUUAGCUCAGCGGUAGAGCAGCUGAUUCGUAAUCAGCAGGUCGAGGGUUCAAAUCCCUUGUUCGGCUCCCA